UGCCAAGGUUAAGAAUGCGCCCAUGAGGCAGC
rnacentral:piRNA from 1 species